rnacentral:tRNA from 1 species
GCCCCUAUAGCUCAGUUGGUAGAGCAGCGGCCUUUUAAGCCGACGGUCGCAGGUUCGAUCCCUGCUGGGGGCA